GUCAUACUCCCUCCGUCCCAAAAUUCUUGUCUUAGAUUUGUCUAGAUACGGAUGUAUCAAGUCACGUUUUAGUAUUAGAUACAUCCGUAUCUAGACAAAUUUAAGACAAGAAUUUUGGGACGGAGGGAGUACUUA
rnacentral:pre_miRNA from 1 species